GCUAAUUUUUGAGUCGGUUUAGUUGAUGCAUGACAACUGAACAAAACGUACUUGUUUCACGACGGACAGCUCUGCAAACGGACAAAAAGCCGAACGGAUUCUGAUGACGGACCAGCGCGUUACUAUGGUUUUUCUAUGGAACAUUUUCACUCAACACUUGCCAUGGUUCUCAUAUUGGAGGGCUGAUAGUGGCCUAACAGCUGGCCUUCAGGAGAGACCUCUGCCAUAACUGCAGUUAAGACUGGAAAGAUAUAACCCUGAGAUGGUUCAAUGCAGAUGCUCCCCAUUAUUUUCAUGUUGCUGUCCGUGGUGUUGAAUCGAGGAUGUAGUAAUGACACAGUCUGCUCUCUGUGGUGUGUUUGUGCUCCGUUUCGUUCAGGUUGUUGGACUGUAUGGUUAACAGAUAAGACCCAGCAAAUAUAUCCAUAUUUCUGUAAAAUUACUUCAGCACUGUCACAGUGGGCUAAACAGUUAACCCCCUAUUUAUUGGCAAAGAAGCAGCUCCAGGAUCUGUUAUUUGACAACAAUAUGAGGAGUUUGCCUCUUUUGUUUUUUUUUAGCUUUGGGAGACAGUUCUGAAUUGUAUUUUCUUACAUUUGAUUUAUCUUUCAAGAUCUUGGUCCUCAAUUAUUGAUCAAUUGUUAGGUUCUAAUGCUUCCAUGGGUCAUUACAUCCACAAGUAUUACAUUACACAAUAUUUGUGGAAAAAGCAGAAAAUAACCUUUUGAGUCAGUUGAAACUCUUUGCUGCAAAAAAGACAAUUCGUCUUUAGUGUUCAUUUAUGAUUAUGUUAGCAUUUUUUUUAUCCUGUUCUGCAUGUCACUUACAUCCUGUGCCUCUGUUGUUUGCUCCUGUAAUUAACCAGUUUUUCCAUGUGGGUCAAUCAAAAUGUUAAGGAUCAUACAUUUGUUAAAUGGUACGUUUGUUGGGUUGAGUUUAAACGUAAUUUUCUUAGUCAGAAAUACUGUAUGACAUCCACUAUCGCUGCAAUACCAAAACAUAACAAUAUGCAAGUAGAAUUUGACCAGCAUGGGUUUUUCAGGCUUGAUAACAGUGUUUUUUUACUGAUGUUGCUGAUAGCUGAUAUACAGUAUAUUGUGUUGAUCUCGUACAAAAGAAUUUUCCACCAGCAAAGUCAAGGCUACUAUAGGCUACUAUAAAUAGUUGGAUAUGCAGUUGCAAAGUGGUCACCCCCUGCCAUGCAACAGGAUUUAACUUUAGAUACCUUUAACCUGAGCAAAAUGAAUGAUAAAGUUUUACAUAACUGCCCAAUUAAAUGCCUAAAUCCUAAACAUAUAAUCUAUCACUGAAAUGGAAAAUUACCUCAUUAUCCAGAAAUGCGAAGGCUGCUCCUAACAAUAUACAGGUAUGCACAGUGGAAGGUGAAAUGGUCAUUUCUUAAUUUGGUGUGUACUUGAUAAAGAGGAACCUUAUCACAUUACAUUUUGCCAUAAAUCAUGCAGAGCUUAAAGGUGGGGUAUGUGAUUUUAAUCCAUUACACAUAUUUUUGUUAAAUUCAGCGAAUAUCUCCUCACGGUCCACUAGUUGUCCGUUCAGUGUGUGCUCUGAAAAAAAAUCAGGUGUUUGUACACAGCCCUGGCUCUGUAAAUCGGAACCAAUCAAAGUGGCUUGGACUGGGCCACACAACAUUAUUCCAGCCAUGAUUCAGGUAACGUUAAAUGACUUGCCCACGGACAUUCAGCUUACUUUCUAGUUUGCCAAGAUAUGCUGUUGUUGUGAUGUUAGCUAUAGUAG